CCAGUGUCUCCUCAAAUUAUGCUUGAUAAGUGCAAUUCUUACACUUCACCUGGAUGGAAGAGGCAGUCCAUUUGAGUUAGAGAUCAGGUACUUACAUGCUAUGCCAUUCCAGCACUGGACUCAUGGAGGCUGAACAUUUAUUCAGGGGAGUUAUGGGCAGCAUUAACUCUUCCUGGCAGUGAUGCGUGGUAAUACACAUGGACCAUUGCCAAUCCAAGAAGCUCACCCACGCCGUGGUGUCCAGAGAUUUUAUUGGGACUCUAUCAUCCCACAGG
rnacentral:lncRNA from 1 species